GACGCCAUGGUGAAGGCGGGUGCUCCCGGGGUCCUGGCCCGGGUCGACGACGGCACGGGCUCCUGGACCGUCACCAGUGGCGUCGCC
rnacentral:tRNA from 1 species